rnacentral:lncRNA from 1 species
CUUAUCUCCAUCUCCUGUCAAAGGCCUCAACCCCUGCUCUGUGCUAGCCCGGUGACUUCUGCUUUCUGCAAAGAGACAAAUCAGAAACACCCAUCCAUGUCAGAUCAGCCCUGAGGUUGGUCCAGACACGAGGGUAUGAGCUGCCCCAACACCAAGUCCCCCUUUCCCUUGAGCUCAGUGGGCACCCAUUCCACUCACGGUAGACCUGCCCAUCUCUCCACUAGGUUCAAAUUUUUUCUAGUCUUUUUUUUUUUCUUUUGAGACAGAAUCUUGCUCUGUCAUCUAGGCUAGAGUGCAGUGGCACCAUCAUAGUUUACUGCAGCCUGGAAUUCCUGGCCACAGCGAUCCUCCCACCUUGGCCUCCCAAAGUGCUCAGAUUACAGGCAUGAGCCACUGUGCCUGGUCCAGAAAUAAUGUUCUGAUGCAACCAAGGAUAGCCAAGUUAGAACUCAGAGAAAUGAGAUCCACCACUCCCCUUAAAUUCAGCUGCCAAAUUCCAACCACUUACAUUGUUUCUUUACCCACGCACCCCCACCUAUUCACACUUCUUCAAGUAACAAUACCUCAGUUUUCCUCUGAACAGCUUCUUACCCCCGCUACUGGUUCAUUUGGUCUGAGUGAUGGAAAUUCUACUUUCUGCACCCAAUGUAGUCAUG